rnacentral:rRNA from 1 species
GACGAACGCUGGCGGCGUGCUUAACACAUGCAAGUCGAACGGAAAGGCCCUGCUCUUGUGGGUUGCUCGUUUGGCGAACGGGUGAGUAACACGUGAGUAACCUGCCCUUGACUUUGGGGUAACUUCAGGAAACUCGGGCUAUUACCGGAUAUGAUCUCCUGCUGCGUGGGGUUGGUUGGAAAGUUUCGGCGGUUGUGGAUGGACUCGCUGCUUAUGAGCUUGUUGGUGUGGUAGUGGCUUACCAAGGCUGUGACGGGUAGCCGGCCUGAGAGGGUUACCGGCCACAAUGGGACUGAGAUACGGAGCAGAAGCGUACGGGAGGCAGCAGGGGGGAGUAUUGCGCAAUGAGCGGAAGCCUGAUGCAGAAACGUCGCGUGCGGGAUGACGGCCUUCGGGUUGUAAACAGAUUUCGAAGGUGACGAAGAGUGAGUGACGGUAAUGAGUAAAGAAGCACCGCCUAACUACGUG